GAGGCUGUAGCUCAGUGGUAGAGCACCUGCCUCACAUGUGUGAGGCACUGGGUUCAAUCCUCAGCAUCA
rnacentral:tRNA from 1 species